rnacentral:rRNA from 1 species
ACGGAGGGGGCUAGCGUUGUUCGGAUUUACUGGGCGUAAAGCGCGCGUAGGCGGCUUGCCAAGUUGGGCGUGAAAGCCCGGGGCUCAACCCCGGAACUGCGCUCAAAACUGGCAGGCUAGAGACCGGGAGAGGAGAGUGGAAUUCCCAGUGUAGAGGUGAAAUUCGUAGAUAUUGGGAAGAACACCAGUGGCGAAGGCGGCUCUCUGGUCCGGUUCUGACGCUGAGGUGCGAAAGCGUGGGGAGCAAACAGG